UACGAGAGGCCCAAACGUUAUUCGGAUUUACUGGGCUUAAAGAGUUCGUAGGCGGCGCAGAAAGUAGGGUGUGAAAGCCCUCGGCUCAACCGAGGAAUUGCGCUCUAAACUACUGCGCUCGAGGAACCUAGAGGUGAGCAGAACUGAUGGUGGAGCGGUGAAAUGCGUUGAUAUCAUCAGGAAUACCGGAGGCGAAGGCGGCUCUCUGGGACGGUACUGACGCUGAGACGCGAAAGCGUGGGGAGCGAACAGG
rnacentral:rRNA from 1 species